GGGGCUGUAGGAUAGUGGUAGUCCGGCCGGCUCCAGACCGGCAGACUCGCGUUCGAUUCGCGGCGGCCCCA
rnacentral:tRNA from 1 species